GGUCCCAUGGUCUAGUGGUUAGGAUAUUGGACUCUGAAUCCAAUAACCCUUGUUCAAAUCUUUGUGGGACCC